AUAUGUUUGUAUUUCCUCUAUAAAUACUAGAGAAGCUAAGCUUAUUUUCACAUACAUCAACCAAAUAACAAGAUCAACUCUAGUGCAAAUUAACUCUCUCAAUGGCAUUGAAAGUUGUUGUAGUGUUGUUCCUUGCAAUGAUUGUUUUUACAGAUCAUAAGUCUGUGGCUGGCCAAUUUUGUGUCUGGUUGCAGGGUCAGUGAUGUUUCAUAGGUGAAGACGAAGAUGAGUCUCCAACAGCUUCUAUUCUUCAUUCCUUUUUUAUGGGAGUUCUCUCUUGCUUUUAUUUAUACUAUGUAUCUCUAGAAGCUCUUGUAUCUGUUUAGACUAGGAUUCUUGGGGUGUUAAGUGUCUCUUGUAAUAAACCUUAGAAUUUAAAAAAUUCAAUUUUGGUGUAUUCCUGACUCUUGUAGUAUUUAUAAUGGUAUUUGUUAAA